GAUCGUUCUAUUAUAGAAUACUCAGAUCAGACUGUGUGCAGAACGUUCUAUUCUAGAAUACUCAGAUCAGACUGUAUCCAGCUCUGUGUGCAGAACGUUCUGUUAUAGAAUACUCAGAUCAGACUGUGUGCAGAACGUUCUGUUAUAGAAUACUCAGAUCAGACUGUAUCCAGCUCUGUGUGCAGAACGUUCUGUUAUAGAAUACUCAGAUCAGACUGUAUCCAGCUCUGUGUGCAGAACGUUCUGUCAUAGAAUACUCAGAUCAGACUGUGUGCAGAAC